rnacentral:rRNA from 1 species
UUGUCUUGUAAUUGGAAUGAUGGUGACGUAAAAUCUCACCAGAGUAACAAUUGGAGGGCAAGUCUGGUGCCAGCAGCCGCGGUAAUUCCAGCUCCAAUAGCGGAUAUUAAACUUGUUGCAGUUAAAAAGCUCGUAGUUGAAUUUCUGCGUUGCCCGACUCGGCUACUUGCCUUGUCUGGUUUCGCUUUUGGGGUUUUCCCCUUUUUACUUUGAGAAAAUUAUAGUGUUUCAAGCAGACUUGUGUCUUGAAUACUUCAGCAUGGAAUAAUAAAGUAGGACUUUGGUUCUAUUUUGUUGGUU